GAUCCUGGCUCAGGACGAACGCUGGCGGCGUGCCUAACACAUGCAAGUCGAACGGACUGAUUUGAGAGCUUGCUCUUGAUGAAAGUUAGUGGCGGACGGGUGAGUAACGCGUGAGUAACCUGCCUUUCAGAGGGGGAUAACAUUCUGAAAAGGAUGCUAAUACCGCAUAACAUCUUAGUAUCGCAUGGUAUUGAGAUCAAAGGAGCAAUCCGCUGGAAGAUGG
rnacentral:rRNA from 1 species